rnacentral:rRNA from 1 species
UAACCUGCCCAAGAGAUCGGGAUAACACCUGGAAACAGAUGCUAAUACCGGAUAACAACAGAUGAUGCCUAUCAACUGUUUAAAAGAUGGUUAUGCUAUCACUCUUGGAUGGACCUGCGGUGCAUUAGCUAGUUGGUAGGGUAACGGCCUACCAAGGCGAUGAUGCAUAGCCGAGUUGAGAGACUGAUCGGCCACAUUUGGGACUGAGACACGGCCCAAACUCCUACGGGAGGCAGCAGCG